rnacentral:rRNA from 1 species
AUGGAUCUGGCCAUGGGGGCCAUGGGCUCCCUCCUCAACAAAUUGAGCGAGGUUAUCAAGGAGGAGUACAAGCUACAGAAGGGCGUCAAGAAAAAGGUCAAGUCCUUCUCUGCCGAGCUGGAUAUUAUGCGCGCUGCCCUUGGCAAGGUGGCAGAGGUGCCGCGAGAUCAGCUCGACGAUCAGAUCAAGCUUUGGGCUGACGAUGUCAGGGAGCUGUCUUACGACAUGGAGGAUGUUGUUGACUCUCUCCUGGUGCGUGUUGAGGGCAGUGACCCCAAUGCUGAUCAGUUCAACUUCAAGAAGCUCAUGGUCAAGAUGGUAAACGUGUUUAAAAAGGGCAAGGCUCGCCGUGAGAUUUCCACAGCAGUCGAAGAGAUCCAUGAGCGGUUGCAAGAUGUGACCAGACGACAUGAAAGGUAUAAUCUUGAUAAUUUACCUGCAGCGAAAAGGACCACCACUGACCCUUUCUGGGAGGUUUUCUAUGGGGAUAAGAAGAAUAUCAUCGGCCUACAGAAAGCAAGGGACGAUAUUAUCAAGAAGAUCAGUGACGGUUAUCCAGUGUCCAACGCGCAUCUCAAGAUACUCUCAGUUGUGGGAUUUGGAGGACUGGGCAAGACCACACUUGCCAGAGAAGUAUAUGAUUCCCUUCCAACAAAAUUUGAUUACAAAGCUUUUGUGUCUGUGUCUCGGAAUCCCGACAUGAAGAAAGUAUUAAGCAAUCUUCUCUUCAAACUUGACAAGGAAAAACACGCUAGUAUGAAUGCAGCAAACUUGGAUGUAGAGCAGCUCAUCAUCCUAGCCCGUGAACUGCUUAGCAAGAAAAGGUACUUUAUAAUUAUCGAUGAUUUAUGGGAUAAAGAAGCAUGGCAAACAAUCAGACUUGUACUCGUGGACAAUGGGUGUGGAAGUAUAAUAAUCACUACCACCCGCCAUGAUGAUGUCUCUAAAAUAUGCUGCUCUUAUAAUGAUGAUAUGAUUCAUAAGAUGGAACCUCUCUCUGACAAUCACUCCCAAAUACUUUUCUAUAGAAGAAUAUUUGGAAGUGAGGUUUGUCCUCCUAGAUUCCACCAAGUAUCCAAAAAGAUCUUAAAGAAAUGUGCUGGGGUACCAUUAGCCAUCAUCAGUUUGGCUAGUUAUUUGGCUAAUAAUGAGAGGACCAACCAAAUUGAUCAAUGGUCUGUUUUGCAAAAAUCUAUUGGCCGUGGACUUAAAAAAGGUGAUGAUCAUGUGAAGAAAAUGAAGAGGAUAUUAUCAUUGAGCUUUUAUGACCUCCCUUCUUAUUUGAAGACUUGCUUUUUAUAUCUAAGUAUCUUUCCAGAAGAUCAUCAAAUUAGCAGAGAUCGGUUGAUAAGAAGAUGGAUUAGUGAAGGAUUUAUCCAAGCAGAAGAUGAAACUGCUAGCCUGCUUGAGCUUGGAGAUAGCUACUUCAACCAGCUAGUAAACAGAAACAUGAUCAUUCCGAUAAACAUGCAUGUUGAUGGUAGGGUUGAAGCUUGUUGUGUACAUGACAUAAUGCUGGAUCUCAUAUGUGAAUUAUCAAGCGAAGUAAACUUUGUUACUGUAUUGGAUGUUAUCAAUGGAGACACAGAUUUGAAAGAGAACUUCCGCAGAUUGUCCAUCCAGAAGAGCAUGACAGAUCUCACCACCACUCAGAUGGGUACCACAAGCAUGUCACAAGCCGAGUUGAGCCGAGCGAUAAACAAAACCCUAUGUCCAGCUAGCAGGAGGUGGUUCCGUCGGCAUUGA